AAGGAGGCCAGCUGCUGCUCCACCCCGCUGCUGUUGCUCCUCAUGCUGUUGAGGAGCUCCACCAGCCGGUCCAUGCUCUGUGAGCCGGGGCCCGACGCCUCCACACCAGCCUCUUCCUGAGGGGGAGAUGGAAAAGUCCAACUGAAGAACGGUUUUCCAGUGACAUCAGGGCAUGGAGCGAGAGAACGAGAGCGAUGUUUUCUUUUUCUCUUCAGGACAUGGUUUCAUGAAGUCAGACUUUGGAGAAAUAAGAUUUCAGAGUGUGUACAAUUAGAGCAGAUGUGCCGGUAUGACAUUUUGUGGCAGAUUUAGGAGUUUAGAAAUGGGAUCAAAGGUUAAAUGUUGCAAACCAUGGCAAGAAAAUCCAUAAUCAGAUAAAGAAAGAAAGCUAGAGUAUUGAGUGCAAACAAGGGUGACUGAAUAACUGGCUUAAAUUUGAGUGAGUAACCUAUUAAACAUGAAAAACCUU